GCAAGUCGAGCGAUUUACUUCGGUAAAGAGCGGCGGACGGGUGAGUAACGCGUGGGUAACCUGCCCUAUACACACGGAUAACGUACCGAAAGGUACGCUAAUACGAGAUAACAUAUUUUUAUCGCAUGGUAAGAAUAUCAAAGCUCCGGCGGUAUAGGAUGGACCCGCGUCUGAUUAGCUAGUUGGUAAGGUAACGGCUUACCAAGGCGACGAUCAGUAGCCGACCUGAGAGGGUGAUCGGCCACAUUGGAACUGAGACACGGUCCAAACUCCUACGGGAGGCAGCAGUGGGGAAUAUUGCACAAUGGGCGAAAGCCUGAUGCAGCAACGCCGCGUGAGCGAUGAAGGCCUUCGGGUCGUAAAGCUCUGUCCUCAAGGAAGAUAAUGACGGUACUUGAGGAGGAAGCCCCGGCUAACUACGUGCCAGCAGCCGCGGUAAUACGUAGGGGGCUAGCGUUAUCCGGAAUUACUGGGCGUAAAGGGUGCGUAGGUGGUUUCUUAAGUCAGAGGUGAAAGGCUACGGCUCAACCGUAGUAAGCCUUUGAAACUGAGAAACUUGAGUGCAGGAGAGGAGAGUAGAAUUCCUAGUGUAGCGGUGAAAUGCGUAGAUAUUAGGAGGAAUACCAGUUGCGAAGGCGGCUCUCUGGACUGUAACUGACACUGAGGCACGAAAGCGUGGGGAGCAAACAGGAUUAGAUACCCUGGUAGUCCACGCCGUANACGAUGAGUACUAGCUGUCGNAGGUUACCCCCUUCGGUGGCGCAGCUAACGCAUUAAGUACUCCGCCUGGGAAGUACGCUCGCAAGAGUGAAACUCA
rnacentral:rRNA from 1 species